rnacentral:rRNA from 1 species
UUGUUCCGCCAGGAGCAUCGCUGAUUAGCUACGUUCGGGAUUGAUAACCGCUGAAAGCAUCUAAGCGGGAAGCUUGCUCCGAGAUGAGAUUUCCUAACCAAUUCGAGGGGUGUGAGGUGCCCAGUAGACGACUGGGUUGAUAGGCCAGGUGUGGAAGCGUUGCAAGGCGUGGAGCUGACUGGUACUAAUGAGAGCCCGGGCC